rnacentral:lncRNA from 1 species
AUCAGCUCAUUUAUUAUCCGGACAAUAUCGUUUGUACUUUAGGAGGGGACAUGUCCUGAAAUUAUCGAUCCAAGAUUGAGUUCCGGUGAAAAGUUAAUACAAGAUGGAAAAGAGGCCAUCGGAUCUGAACAUUUAUUUGAAGCUAAUAAGAAAGAAGAAAACAAAGAUAUAAUGUCACCGCAUACACUCCAUGCCCAAUCCAAUCGAAGAACAGUCCUCGCAUGCAAGGUGAUCUUAUUCUAAUUCUUCGGAGCUGUUUUAUCAACUUAUUAGUAGGUGUCCAGACAUCAUCAUGCAGGCCUUCACUUCGAGAGGGGAUAGACUCGGGAAAUUCAAGAUUGAUGGUUCCGGUGGACAGUCAAUAAAACAGACGAAAUUUCGGCCAUUUUGCUUCAGACUUCAUCAAAGUCCAGAUUUACUUCUCAUGUUGCUAACAGAAAGGAACUACGAACUGGCCAGCAGGUGUUUAGCUACCUACGAUCAAAGAUGAACACCUUUAUUAUAGUGGCUGCCUUUCUAAUGCCAGGCCUCCUGGUGGCGCCAUCAAUAGUCUGGUUCACUAGUUCCGAGUACGUGAACUGUCCGGGAGAUCGGUGGGAAGAGACAGGGGAUAUUGAGAUCAGUGGUCCGCAGGAUGGUGGUCUGGACAGAGGGGAGCCACUAAUAAACUGGUUUGACAGAGCUUGGGAAACCUUACGAGGUGCAUGGGACAGAAACAAUCCACUCUGCGCCACAAUAAAGGGCGCCGCCACAGGAGGGAUUCAAGUUCUUCCCAUUUUCAACUUGCAAUAACUUUGAUUGGCUUUUGAUUGGGCUCUUGUAAUGUAAAAUCUGUGUAGCAAUACUGUUCAGAAAUCAUAUAUCUUGUCACUUGUGUCUGUCGUUUUAUGUAUGUACAGGUUUGUGAUAUUUUCAAAAUAAUCAUAUCAUGCUGUGCAAGUGCGCGUUAAAGUUCCCUUUUAGAAAGGAUAUACCUCUUAAAAAUUUUUAUGAUGUCAUAUCUAGGUUUAUUUGUGUAAGUUCAUGCAAAAGCUGCAGUCACAAGUUUUCAUUGCACUUCGAAACCACAAGACAGGUCAUGAAUGUAAUGUAUGCCUGCAAUGUAUGUUGACACUUUCAUAAACUCAAUUAAAAUGAAUU